rnacentral:piRNA from 1 species
ACCAGGCUGCCUGAGCCUAGGGCAAAAGCUGU